CAAGGAUCCACCCCUUCCCAUACCUCAUUUAGGGCUGGCAGUGGAGGCCAAAGUAUCUCAUUGUGGUUCUCUAUGCGUUUGAGGUCUUUUGAUGUAUUACGGUCUACAAAAGCCGAUUUCUCUGCUUCUUUCCAGAAUUCCAGGAUUAAUCUGAAAAGCUGAUAAUGAACCUCCUCUUCCAUGUUUUAUUCUCGUACUCCCUUGAUGCGGAAAGAAAGUAAAAGUCACUGUGCUGAUGGGAGGCAAGCAAGAGUGACACUUUUCACAGGCAGCUGUCACGGUUCAGAUGAUUUGUUAAAUUCCAGGACUGAUCAUUCACUGUAGCACAAAGUAAGUCUCUCUCUGACCACUCCUGUCUUUCUCCAUUGAUGGUACAGAGA